UCCGGUUUGGCACCGGCAGUCUCCCUAGAGUUCCCGGCAUGACCCGCUGGCAACUAAGGACAGGGGUUGCGCUCGUUGCGCCACUUAAGGCAACACCUCACGGCACGAGCUGACGACAGCCAUGCACCACCUGUGCAGGCUCCGAAGAGCGCCCGCUUUCACGGUUCUACCACCUACAUGUCAAGGCCAGGUAAGGUUCUUCGCGUUGCAUCGAAUUAAGCCACAUACUCCACCGCUUGUGCAGGCCCCCGUCAAUUUCUUUGAGUUUUAAUCUUGCGACCGUACUUCCCAGGCGGUCGACUUCACGCGUUAGCUUCGUUACUGAGAGUGUCAAACCCCCAACAACCAGUCGACAUCGUUUAGGGCGUGGACUAC
rnacentral:misc_RNA from 1 species